rnacentral:lncRNA from 1 species
CUCUGACUUUGUGUUUCACACUCUGCCUGGCAUCUCUGGCUUCAUAUUUCACAGUACUACUGUCAUCUCGAACUUCGUGUGCAACACAUCCAGUUUCAUCUCUUACUUUGUGUGUUAUAUUCCCAUCUUGUCUCUUAGUUUGUGCAUAACACUUCCUCUGUCGUCCAUAUCUUCAUGUGUUGCACUACAAAUGGUGUAUCUGACUUGAUGUGUAACACUUCCCCAGACAUCUCUGACUUUAUGUGUAACAUUCCCCCUGUUGUCUCAGACUUCCUGUAUCACAGACACUUUAGCAUCUCUGACUUCAAGUGUAACACUCCAAGUGGCUUCUCUGAAUUCUGUGUAACACUCCACCUGGAAUCUCUGACUCCGUGUGUAACACAUCCACUGGUGUGUCUGACUUCAAGUGUCACAUUCCCCAUGUCGUUUAUGUCUUUCUGUGUAACACUCCCCAUCAUAUCUCUCUUUGUGCUUAACAAUCACCCUGGUGUUUUUAACUUCAUGUGUGACUUUCCCAUGGCGUCUCUGACUUCAUGUCACACCUCACAUGGCAUCUCUGACUUCAAGUGUUGCAUUCCCUGUGGCAUCACUGAAUUUGUGAAUAACACUCCCUUUUGUGUCUUUGGCUUCAUUUGUAACACUCCCCCUGGUGUCUCUGACUUCAUGUGUAACACUCCACUUCACAUCUCUGACUUGAUGCAUCACACUGCCCAUGUGGUGUCUGACUUUGUGUGUCACACUCCACCUGGCAUCUCUGAUUUUAUAGUUAACACUCCACAUGGCGCUUCUGAUAUCACUUGUAGCACUCCUCAUCAUAUCUCUAGCUUCAUAUGUUACUAUCCCCCUUGUGUGUCUGAUUUUGUGUGUAGAAUUCCCCAUGGCAUCGCUGACUUCUUGUGUAACACUCCACCAGGUGUCUCUGAAAUUGACUGUAACACUCCUCCUCACAUCUCAGGCAUCUUGCAUUACUAUUCCCCACUUGUCUCUGAUUUCAUUGAUUACACAACCCCUAUCUUCUCUGAAGUGUGAAACACUCCCCAUGGUGUCUCUAAAUUUGUGUGUCACCCUCCU